UGAGGACUGGUUACCAGGGGAACUCACCAUGUGGUUAGAGAGUUGGAACUUUCAGUCCCACUACACCCUCCCCCGCCCACCGCCUCAGCAACCAACCUCCAGGGAGGGGAAAGGGGGCAGAAGUUUGAGUUAAUAACUAAUAGCUAAAGAUGUAAACAAUAAGCCUCCAUAAAACCCCAAAAGGACUGGACUGGUUUCUGAGAGCUUCCAGGUUGUUGAGCACGUGGAGGUUCUGGGAGGGUCCACACCCAGAGAAGGCAUGGAAGCUGACCCCUUCCCCAUACCUUGCUCUUUGCAUCUCUUCCAUUUGGCUGUUCCCGAGUUGUAUACUUUGUAAUAAGUGGGAUUUCCACCCAACAACAAUUCAGCCACACUGCUUCACACAUCUAGAAUCCAUCCAAAAUUGUAAAGGCUUUGUGGCACUACAGUGAAACAGGCAAGAACAUCUUCCAAACAUCCAGCACAAGAGCACACAGGAGGCCGGCAUAAUCACGAAUUGCAGCUGUCUGAAGGGCAGUCACAUAAAAGAGGAGAAGCUUCACCUUUGCUUCACAAGGCACAUCUUGAACCAGGGAUGGAAAUUACAGAGAGGCCAAAACCAGCUCGGUGUGAGCAGGACUGGUAACAGACUGGCCAAGCAACAGAAGGGGCUGCCCUGUGAAGAAGCAAGCUCUCUGUCAAUGGGAGGUGCAAGCUGAGCCUGCACUACCUUUUGUCACGGUUGCUAUGGAAAAGAUUAAGAGCCCGGAUAGCCCUUCCUCCUCUGGGGGCCUGGGCAUCAGCAAGUCGGAUGGCAGUGGAAGGUGGAGAAAUGGAAUCCUGCUGGGGGCUCAGGAGGCCUGCCCCCUGAUGCUGCCGUGCACUGCAGAUGUCCUUGAUGAAGAGAAUGAAUGGAAGUUUAAAUGAUGAAACUCUGGGGAUCAGCGUAAAGUAAACCAACAUACUGCAUGUAAGUAUCAAGUAAAUGAGCAGAGACAGCCCCUGGUUUACAAACACCUGACUUAAGCAUCGUCCAUCCUACAGGACAGGGAAGGAGGAAGAAGCUUCGAGAGGCUGGAACAGUUGAGGGAGCGCUGACACGGUAAAGGCCACUUUGCUCAUCAUCACCAGGCGUGCUGCCGAAAAUUUCCACUCUGUUUACUCCCAAGACCUUACUCCUACUAUGUGGAGACACAUUUGAAUAAAAAAUUGGCCUCUUUUCAAAGUCAAAAUUCUG
rnacentral:lncRNA from 1 species